rnacentral:lncRNA from 1 species
GGGAACUCAGCGAGCAAUGUUCCAGCUGCCCCUGCAUUCUUCACCUCCCAUUGUCUUCUGUCUCUUUGCCCCCACUCCCACCACCAAAGUCAGGAGUCCUGAACCCAUGAUUACCUGAUACCUGCAAGCAACCAGGUGUUCCUUUCAGAAACCAGCAGCCGAUAACCCAGGCAUUUGGAUUCAACCCCAGCCCAUGUUCUUUGCAGCGGAGGACUUAGGAAGGAGAUUCUCCCCACUGGCAGGAAACUCAAUGAAAAAAAAAAUUCCUAAAGAAUUUAAAGACAAUAAACCUGUGAGCCUGGGCCCUGGACCUGUGGUUUUUACCUGCAAAUUGUUUCCUGCACCUCCAAAGAAGCAGCAAUACUGGUGGGCAGCAGAUCUCAGCUUCAAACACAGGCAGAUGACCCGCACUGUGCCCACAGGCAACGAGAAUGCGCAUCCCGAUCUCCAUCUUGGAGACACCCCAACUCAUAGCACAUCUCAUCUCUCAGCACCCGCACUCCACUCUUGAGUGCAUCCGAAAGUCCAUCCAGCGACAUGUAACCCAACAUGUCCUGAAAAUUCUUUUUCUGCAACACAAGUCAGUGAACCUACAAAUCUAUUCUACAAGAGGGGAUAGCUUCCUUAUUUCAGCCUUGGUGGCCCUUAGAGAUGACAGGCUCAUUUGAUGAACUCACCCAUAAUAAGCUAUAACCUUCAUGGUUACCCUGUGAAGGGCUGUUACACCAGGGAAGGGAAUAAAAUUUGUAUGGUGCAUGCUGGUGUUGAGUGGUAAAUUUGGAGAAAUAGGGGUGAGAAGAUGUCUCCUACAGCAUGACAGAAACUUGGAUCCUGUGAAGGCCCUGUGGCUGCCUGACUCUGGGCAAAUCAGCUAAAUUCUUUGGGGCUUCUUUUGUGGAAUGGCAUAAUAGACCCAGUUUCUCAACAUGGGUUAGGAUGAAAAUAGGUAAAGUUCAUUAAAC